GAACCCGUUUAGCUCAGGUGUGUUGGACCAGAGACACAUGUACAGGAUGCAGGACACUGUCACUGAGGACUGGAGGUGGACACUCCUGUGUCAGUGGAUGAUGUCCUUCAUGAAUUUUUUUUCUGUUCUUUCAUUGUUCUUCAUAACAAUUAAUUUUCUUCUUUGCUAUCUUGUAUUUUUACAUUUUAUUCUUAUUGUGUUUUAGAGGCGAUAGGGUUUGGCUGGCAGGAGAGGGAGAAAUGACAAUCAGCCCCAGUAAUGCUCGAAUACCCAUUCCUAGUAUUGCACGUCAUCUUCAGUGUGUCAACAUGAAAGUUGUUCGUGUUUCCCAACGUCAUCACACAUUUGGGCAUGUGUUCCAUGCUUCAGAACAGUCCAAGGAUGUAUGUCUUGGCGAUUUUGGUGGAGCAGCGGUCCACAACAGCAUGAUUUAUGGUGUGAUUUAUCCUGAUGGAUCAAACUAUGUAUGUCAGAAACCAACUGUAAUCCUUGAUGUGUGUAAAUACAUGGAGUGGAUAAAACAAACAAUUGGGUUUAAAUAAAACACAAACUUUCAUAAAAUAAAAUUCUCAUCAAAUUUCCUCACAUAUAAUUUUAGAAUUGUAUCUUCAUCAGUUUGAUCCACAUGUUCGUAGAAUUAGAAUAAAUUAAUUGUUUUAUUUUCUCACCUGAGCUUUCCCUUCAAAUCAGAAAUAAAAAAAUCAAUAAAUGCAUA